rnacentral:rRNA from 1 species
UACGUAGGGGGCAAGCGUUGUCCGGAAUCAUUGGGCGUAAAGCGCGCGUAGGCGGCCCGGUAAGUCCGUUGUGAAAGUCAAAGGCUCAACCUUUGAACGCCGAUGGAUACUGCCGGGCUAGAGUCCGGAAGAGGCGAGUGGAAUUCCUGGUGUAGCGGUGAAAUGCGCAGAUAUCAGGAAGAACACCAAUGGCGAAGGCAGCUCUCUGGGACGGUACUGACGCUGAGGCGCGAAAGCGUGGGGAGCGAACAGG